GAUGAAGAACGCAGCGAAAUGCGAUAAGUAAUGUGAAUUGCAGAAUUCCGUGAAUCAUCGAAUCUUUGAACGCACAUUGCGCCCCCUGGCAUUCCGGGGGGCAUGCCUGUCCGAGCGUCAUUUCUGCCCUCCAGCCCGGCUGGGUGUUGGGCGCUGUCCCCCCGGGGACACGCCCCAAAGGCAGUGGCGGCGCCGCGUCGGGUCCUCGAGCGUAUGGGGCUUUGUCACCCGCUCGGGACGGACUCGUCGGCGCUGGUCUUCCCCCAGGCGACCCUUCGGGGCUCGUCUUCCUUCGGUUGCCCUCGGAUCAGGUAGGGUUACCCGCUGAACUUAAGCAUAUCAAUAAGCGGAGGA
rnacentral:misc_RNA from 1 species